AUUGAACGCUGGCGGCAGGCCCAACGCAGGCAAGUCGGACGGUAGCACAGAGGAGCUUGCUCCUCGGGUGACGAGUGGCGGACGGGUGAGUAAUGUCUGGGGAUCUGCCCGAUAGAGGGGGAUAACCACUGGAAACGGUGGCUAAUACCGCAUAACGUCGCAAGACCAAAGAGGGGGACCUUCGGGCCUCUCACUAUCGGAUGAACCCAGAUGGGAUUAGCUAGUAGGCGGGGUAACGGCCCACCUAGGCGACGAUCCCUAGCUGGUCUGAGAGGAUGACCAGCCACACUGGAACUGAGACACGGUCCAGACUCCUACGGGAGGCAGCAGUGGGGAAUAUUGCACAAUGGGCGCAAGCCUGAUGCAGCCAUGCCGCGUGUAUGAAGAAGGCCUUCGGGUUGUAAAGUACUUUCAGCGGGGAGGAAGGCGAUGUGGUUAAUAACCGCGUCGAUUGACGUUACCCGCAGAAGAAGCACCGGCUAACUCCGUGCCAGCCGCCGCGGUAA
rnacentral:rRNA from 1 species